rnacentral:lncRNA from 1 species
GGAGAAAACUCAGACCGUUUAUGAGAACAUACAAUGAUGCAGUGGCCAUACCCCCCACUAAGAACAAACACUGCAGAAAAUACCUAAAAUUCCUCAGUGCUGUUAAGAGUGUAGAAAGCUCAGGAUAACUUCACAUUACUUCACAUUGCCAUGCACUAGCUAACGUGGCUCGUGGCUAUGACAGGACGAAACACAGCCGCACUUCCAGAAUUGUUGAAAAUUCAAACUCAAAGGGACAACAGGUUUGAGCCACACCCGCAGUAUGUGGGCCAGGGGUCAAAUCUGAGCUGCAGCUGCCGGCCUGCACCGCAGCCACAGCAACACCACGUCUAAGCUGCAUCUGUGACCUAUGCCAGAUCCUCAACCCACUGAGCGAAGCCAGGGAUUGAACCUGCAUCCUCACAGACACUAUGUCGGGGUCUUAACCCGCUGAGCCACAACAGGACCUCCCAGAUUGAGUUUCUGAAACGAACUAAGAGAGAGCUUUAUGGAGGGGCCGAAUAAUACAAAGCAACUGAAUUAAUUGAAGUUCUUUGAUAACACAUUCUUAUGGUCUACAACAUACUGGCUUAAUCAACAUUUUUAGGCAGAUAAUUGUCUUCCUUCCCCUCAGCCCAAGCCUUUAGCACCACAUUAUUCACAAAAAGUACAAGUUUUUUGUGUGUGAACUGGCAUAGACUUUAUUAGGAUUAGAAUUUACUUCUGGAAAUGGGCUCCUGAUAACCAAGAGGCUAAAACAUCUUUGAUGGAAGAUUUAUUCCUAAUAAAUUUGCUAAGCUGCUAACCA